rnacentral:tRNA from 1 species
GAAGUGGUGGCCGAACUGGCGAGGCACCGGUCUGCAACACCGGCAGUGAGACACCGUCUCCAUGGGGGUUCGAGUCCCCUCCACUUCUCCA